CCUACGGGAGGCAGCAGUGGGGAAUAUUGGGCAAUGGGCGCAAGCCUGACCCAGCAACGCCGCGUGAAGGAAGAAGGCUUUCGGGUUGUAAACUUCUUUUCUCAGGGACGAAGCAAGUGACGGUACCUGAGGAAUAAGCCACGGCUAACUACGUGCCAGCAGCCGCGGUAAUACGUAGGUGGCAAGCGUUAACCGGAUUUACUGGGUGUAAAGGGCGUGUAGGCGGGAAAGCAAGUCAGAUGUGAAAACCAUGGGCUCAACCUGUGGCCUGCAUUUGAAACUGUUUUUCUUGAGUACUGGGGAGGCAGGCGGAAUUCCUAGUGUAGCGGUGAAAUGCGUAGAUAUUAGGAGGAACACCAGUGGCGAAGGCGGUCUGCUGGACAGCAACUGACGCUGAGGCGCGAAAGCGUGGGGAGCAAACAGGAUUAGAUACCCUUGUAGUC
rnacentral:rRNA from 1 species